AUUGAACGCUGGCGGCAUGCCUUACACAUGCAAGUCGAACGGCAGCACGGGAGCAAUCCUGGUGGCGAGUGGCGAACGGGUGAGUAAAGUAUCGGAACGUGCCCAGUCGUGGGGGAUAACGUAGCGAAAGUUACGCUAAUACCGCAUACGAUCUAUGGAUGAAAGCGGGGGAUCGCAAGACCUCGCGCGAUUGGAGCGGCCGAUAUCAGAUUAGGUAGUUGGUGGGGUAAAGGCUCACCAAGCCGACGAUCUGUAGCUGGUCUGAGAGGACGACCAGCCAAACUGGGACUGAGACACGCCCCAGACUCCUACGGGAGGCAGAAGUGGGGAAUUUUGGACAAUGGGCGCAAGCCUGAUUCAGCCAUGCCGCGUGCAGGAUGAAGGCCUUCGGGUUGUAAACUGCUUUUGUACGGAACGAAAAGGUUUGACUUAAUACGUUGGACUCAUGACGGUACCGUAAGAAUAAGCACCGGCUAACUACGUGCCAGCAGCCGCCGUAAUAC
rnacentral:rRNA from 1 species